ACUCAGCUCUAAAUGAACUAGAUUAGGAGAGAAAAGGGAAGGCAUUUCUAAAAGGGCAUUUCCCCCCACAAUACACAAGGGGAUGAAAUCGCUGACAGACGUCCAUGACGCUAAUGGGAGAGGUAAGGCUCUCCGGACAGCGCCACCCUCUCAGCUCUAAUACUCCUUCGGGCUCUCCAUCUUUCAACCGCUGGCUGGUGCCUCGUUGCCAUUGGCUACCCCCGGAUGCUGCGUGUAGCAUCUCCGAAAAUCUAGCUGGCUGCAUCUUGGAACAACUGUCACUGGGCUUCUUCUCUGCGGCCCUACUGCCAUCUGCUGGGACUAUCUUUCAUUGCGAGGGUUUCGCUUUCUCUGAAGGCUAAUUUAGGCAGUUUCAGCUCUUCCACCAGUUUUUCCCAACAUCAGGGUCUUUUCCAGUGAGUUCUGUCUUUUUAUUGUGCAUCUUCAGUAUUUGAUCUUCCAAUGAAUGGCUUGAAUUAAUUUCUUGAAGUAUUGGCUGAUUUGAUCUCCUUGCUGUCCAAGGAACUCUCAAAAGUCUUCUCCAGCAACUCAAUUCAAGAGUGUUGAUUCUGCAAAGGAGUAUAUUAGAGGAAAAUGCAUAUUCAAGGCUAGAGAAGAAUAGAAGAAACAAAGAAAAAAGGGACACAGAAGGGGAAAGCUAAUAAAUUGUUAUGGACAUGGCAUUUUUUCAGUUGUUUAAUUGAUUAUAUCAAAAUUAAAAUUAAAUUUUAAGAAGUUGA